rfam:TPA: Bos taurus chromosome 17, whole genome shotgun sequence.
GACCUGGUUGUUUCUGCUGUUAGUGUAUACUUUUCUCAAAGAUUAAAGCAUGUAUAAGUAUGCAUGGGACUAAAACAGUGUAUGUCUCACUAAAUCAGUUAUGAUUCUUUUGGUCACUCACUUGUCUCCUACUUGAAUAAUAGGCAAUGCUAGAGUUCACUACAUGCCAAUGAGUGAUGACUACUUUCACACCAGAGUAAUGCAUGCAUUUAUCAGCUCCAACAACACUCUUCCCAUGGCCAUGACUUGGGGAUGUGUACCACUGGCUGUGGUGAUUCAUUCAAAUGUUUGCCUAAUCAGCCUUUGAUGGUAGUUCUCAUACCUACUUAUGAGUGAUGGGGAAUCAGGGUUUGAGUCAGGAGAGGGAGCCUGAUUAAUGGCUCCCACAUUCAAGGAAGGCAACAGGUAUGCAAGUGACAGAUACCUGGCCCAGAAAAGUAGUGAUGAAAGGACUCUCUUUGAUUUUCCAAGUCCUAUGAAUGACUGCUUUAAAUCAUUCCACAAAAAAAGAUAGAUAAAUUCCACAAGAAUCCACUGUAGGGCAGUCAGGAAUUCCAUCUACAAUAGGGCAUAUUAGAGAUGUUGCAGUUAAAACACGUCUGGCAUGAUUUUGGGAGUGGGCAGCUAGUCCGUCAUGAAACAGAGUCAUUGCCCAUCCCUGCCUCUUGGUACUCCUCAAACUGUUAGCCAAAUGUCUGUGGGUCCAGAAGCAUUUGCAUUGAAAAAGCUAGGGUGUUCAAAGCAGGUCUGAGCCAUUGGGAUAUCACAGCUAGGAAUAAUGGAAUACAACAGUGGUCCUAUUUUGUUCAUUUUCAAAACAGGCCACAGUUAAGAGAUACUGGAGUAUUCUUAUUACACACUGUAGGUGAAAUUCUUGAACUGGUGCGAGAUGGACCAGAGAGCUGUGCCAAGAAUGUUUUUAUUGAUCAUGAAUGAAAGUUGGAGGUUCAAAGAAGAUCAGACACCAUCAUGAUUCUGACCAUAGCUGAUGGUGACUGACAAUGUGGCUGUGUUGUUCUUCCAUAUCCUGCUGGACAGCUGAAGGGAAAUGAAACUUUUUGGUUUCUUGGGGGGUAUGGUUGCAAAGCUGCAACUUUAAAGAAUUGGUGGAAGGGCAUCACCAGGAGUGGAGUGGAGCUGGAGUUAAUGUCUUAACUUGACUCAGAAGAGGAAAUCUGACAUGGACAGGAUUGUCAGAUAGCUCUUUAGUGAUUUUGUGGGUGGUGCUGCAUGGCCACUGGUUGAGUGAUUUCUCUGUUUAAUUCCAAUAAUGAAAGGUACUCUGGUAUGCCAAUUCAUUAUAUGAUCCCUGAGCAGUGUCUUCUAAAGUUCUUAGAGAUACAGGUGGCAUUUAGCCACCCCAAAUUGAAGAAAAACAGGUCUGUGAUGGUUUUAGAUCGCUAGGGCUACACACAUGACACACUGAAUGGCUGAAGAUGUGCCUACACUCUAUCAGCAGGUGGAGGUAACCCACUGAACCCUUCUUGUGAUGGAGAUCACAGUUAUUCAUGAUUGACGAGUUCCCAGGCCCACACUGCUGAGUUCUCUAAGUGCAGGUUUUAAGCUUAUGUUGAGUCCCUGUUUUCUGGUUCUUACCACCCAUCACUACUACUGAUAAGAAUAUUUUGGUGAGGCCCUCCAAGUGGCUUCUCUGGGGUUGACCAAUGGUCCUGAUGUAGUGCCAGGUGGUGAUAGUUGAACUUUAGAGGAAGUAAAAAUAACAAGGUUCCCAUAGCUUGUUUCCACAGGUCAACCUGUGAAAGGAUCAUUA